rnacentral:rRNA from 1 species
AGAGUUUGAUCCUGGCUCAGAAUCAACGCUGGCGGCGCGCUUAACACAUGCAAGUCGCACGAGAAAGUGGAGCAAUCCAUGAGUAAAGUGGCGUACGGGUGAGUAACACGUGGAUCAUCUACCUUUUAGUGGGGAAUACCCCUGGGAAACCGGGGAUAAUACCGCAUAAGCUCGUAAGAGGAAAGCAGCAAUGCGCUGAAAGAGGAGUCCGCGGCUGAUUAGCUAGUUGGUGAGGUAACGGCCCACCAAGGCGAAGAUCGGUAGCCGGCCUGAGAGGGCACACGGCCACACUGGCACUGAAACACGGGCCAGACUCCUACGGGAGGCAGCAGUGGGGAAUCUUGCACAAUGGAGGAAACUCUGAUGCAGCGACGCCGCGUGAGCGAUGAAGCCCUUCGGGGUGUAAAGCUCUUC